AGAGUUUGAUCAUGGCUCAGAUUGAACGCUGGCGGCAGGCCUAACACAUGCAAGUCGAGCGGUAGCACAGAGAGCUUGCUCUCGGGUGACGAGCGGCGGACGGGUGAGUAAUGUCUGGGAAACUGCCUGAUGGAGGGGGAUAACUACUGGAAACGGUAGCUAAUACCGCAUAAUGUCGCAAGACCAAAGUGGGGGACCUUCGGGCCUCAUGCCAUCAGAUGUGCCCAGAUGGGAUUAGCUAGUAGGUGGGGUAACGGCUCACCUAGGCGACGAUCCCUAGCUGGUCUGAGAGGAUGACCAGCCACACUGGAACUGAGACACGGUCCAGACUCCUACGGGAGGCAGCAGUGGGGAAUAUUGCACAAUGGGCGCAAGCCUGAUGCAGCCAUGCCGCGUGUGUGAAGAAGGCCUUCGGGUUGUAAAGCACUUUCAGCGGGGAGGAAGGCGNCGAUUGACGUUACCCGCAGAAGAAGCACCGGCUAACUCCGUGCCAGCAGCCGCGGUAAUACGGAGGGUGCAAGCGUUAAUCGGAAUUACUGGGCGUAAAGCGCACGCAGGCGGUCUGUCAAGUCGGAUGUGAAAUCCCCGGGCUCAACCUGGGAACUGCAUUCGAAACUGGCAGGCUAGAGUCUUGUAGAGGGGGGUAGAAUUCCAGGUGUAGCGGUGAAAUGCGUAGAGAUCUGGAGGAAUACCGGUGGCGAAGGCGGCCCCCUGGACAAAGACUGACGCUCAGGUGCGAAAGCGUGGGGAGCAAACAGGAUUAGAUACCCUGGUAGUCCACGCCGUAAACGAUGUCGAUUUGGAGGUUGUGCCCUUGAGGCGUGGCUUCCGGAGCUAACGCGUUAAAUCGACCGCCUGGGGAGUACGGCCGCAAGGUUAAAACUCAAAUGAAUUGACGGGGGCCCGCACAAGCGGUGGAGCAUGUGGUUUAAUUCGAUGCAACGCGAAGAACCUUACCUGGUCUUGACAUCCACAGAACUUNUUGGUGCCUUCGGGAACUGUGAGACAGGUGCUGCAUGGCUGUCGUCAGCUCGUGUUGUGAAAUGUUGGGUUAAGUCCCGCAACGAGCGCAACCCUUAUCCUUUGUUGCCAGCGGUCCGGCCGGGAACUCAAAGGAGACUGCCAGUGAUAAACUGGAGGAAGGUGGGGAUGACGUCAAGUCAUCAUGGCCCUUACGACCAGGGCUACACACGUGCUACAAUGGCAUAUACAAAGAGAAGCGACCUCGCGAGAGCAAGCGGACCUCAUAAAGUAUGUCGUAGUCCGGAUUGGAGUCUGCAACUCGACUCCAUGAAGUCGGAAUCGCUAGUAAUCGUAGAUCAGAAUGCUACGGUGAAUACGUUCCCGGGCCUUGUACACACCGCCCGUCACACCAUGGGAGUGGGUUGCAAAAGAAGUAGGUAGCUUAACCUUCGGGAGGGCGCUUACCACUUUGUGAUUCAUGACUGGGGUGAAGUCGUAACAAGGUAACCGUAGGGGAACCUGCGGUUGGAUCACCU
rnacentral:rRNA from 1 species